GAUGAACGCUGACAGAAUGCUUAACACAUGCAAGUCUACUUGAAUUGGGGUUUUUAACUUAGAUUUGGGUGGCGGACGGGUGAGUAACGCGUAAAGAACUUGCCUCACAGCUAGGGACAACAUUUAGAAAUGAAUGCUAAUACCUAAUAUUAUGAUAAUAGGGCAUCCUAUAAUUAUGAAAGCUAUAUGCGCUGUGAGAGAGCUUUGCGUCCCAUUAGCUAGUUGGAGAGGUAACGGCUCACCAAGGCGAUGAUGGGUAGCCGGCCUGAGAGGGUGAUCGGCCACAAGGGGACUGAGACACGGCCCUUACUCCUACGGGAGGCAGCAGUGGGGAAUAUUGGACAAUGGACCGAGAGUCUGAUCCAGCAAUUCUGUGUGCACGAUGAAGUUUUUCGGAAUGUAAAGUGCUUUCAGUUGGGAAGAAAGAAAUGACGGUACCAACAGAAGAAGUGACGGCUAAAUACGUGCCAGCAGCCGCGGUAAUACGUAUGUCACGAGCGUUAUCCGGAUUUAUUGGGCGUAAAGCGCGUCUAGGUGGUUAUAUAAGUCUGAUGUGAAAAUGCAGGGCUCAACUCUGUAUUGCGUUGGAAACUGUAUAACUAGAGUACUGGAGAGGUAAGCGGAACUAUAAGUGUAGAGGUGAAAUUCGUAGAUAUUUGUAGGAAUGCCGAUGGGGAAGCCAGCUUACUGGACAGAUACUGACGCUGAAGCGCGAAAGCGUGGGUAGCAAACAGG
rnacentral:rRNA from 1 species